GAUGAACGCUGGCGGCGUGCCUAAUACAUGCAAGUCGAGCGAACAGACGAGGAGCUUGCUCCUCUGACGUUAGCGGCGGACGGGUGAGUAACACGUGGAUAACCUACCUAUAAGACUGGGAUAACUUCGGGAAACCGGAGCUAAUACCGGAUAAUAUAUUGAACCGCAUGGUUCAAUAGUGAAAGACGGUUUUGCUGUCACUUAUAGAUGGAUCCGCGCCGCAUUUGCUAGUUGGUAAGGUAACGGCUUACCAAGGCAACGAUUCGUAGCCGACCUGAGAGGGUGAUCAGCCACACUGGAACUGAGACACGGUCCAGACUCCUACGGGAGGCAGCAGUAGGGAAUCUUCCGCAAUGGGCGAAAGCCUGACGGAGCAACGCCGCGUGAGUGAUGAAGGUCUUCGGAUCGUAAAACUCUGUUAUUAGGGAAGAACAAAUGUGUAAGUAACUAUGCACGUCUUGACGGUACCUAAUCAGAAAGCCACGGCUAACUACGUG
rnacentral:rRNA from 1 species